GAAGGUGCAGCCCUGCGUCCUGUGAGAAGAUGUCUUAUGGAUCCAUCGCUGGCAGUGGCGGCCUGGGGAGCCGGGGCCCUUUCGGGGGGCCCUCCCAACAAGGCUAUCAGCCUCUAGAGUGCACAAAGUGUUGGACCAAGUACGGAAUCCGCCAUUUCCCCUGCCCAUCGCCAGAGAGCAGCCUGCAGGACCCCUGUGUGGGUGAGGAUGGGGACGGUGACCCGGGGCCAGCUGGCACCCCCAGAGGCCCGAGGGCCAGGAAGCGAGGGCCAGGGGUCACGCCCGAUGGCAGUGGGACACCAGAGCCCACCUUGCUGCCUGCUGGCCCACAGAAGGAGCCGGCUGCAAGGGCCCGUGGCCACGUGGCCAGCACCACCCGGGCCAAGAAGAGGAAGCCCAACUUCUGCCCGCAGGAGACGGAGGUGCUGGUAGCCAGGGUCAGCAAGCACCAUCAGCUUCUGUUUGGCACCGGCCUGCCGCGGGCCGAGCCUGCCCGCAGGUACCGCGUGUGGAGCCGCAUCCUGCAGGCAGUGAACGCGCUGGGCUACUGCCGCCGCGACCUUGUGGACCUCAAGCACAAGUGGCGGGACCUGCGGGCCGUAGUGAGGCGCAAGCUGGGCGAGCUGCCGGGGGCGCCUCAGGCCCUGCCCCUCACGCCCCUGGAGCAGGCCGUGGCCAAGACCUUCUCCUUCCAGGCCCCGCCCUCCGAGGGCCUCGGCCCCGAGCCGCGCAGAGCCACCCAGAUGGACCCAAGUGACCUCCAGGAGCUGUUCCAAGAGACGUCAGCCAACAUCUUCCGAAUCAACUCCAAUGUGACCUCCUUGGAGCAGAGCCUCCGGUCCCUGGGGACGCCGGGUGACACGCAGGAGCUGCGGGACAGCCUGCACACAGUGCAGCAGGAGACCAACCGCACGAUCGCGGCCAGCGCCAGCGCCCUGAAGCAGACGGCCGAGCUCCUGCGGGGCUGCCCCCGGCUCCAUUGUCUGCAGCAGGAGCAUCUUCAGCUAGAUCGCCUGAAAACUCAGCUGUCAGACGCCGUCCGACGCUAUGGAGUGGUGCAGAAGAAAAUUGCAGAGAAGUCCAGAGCACUGCUUCCCACGGCACAGAGGGGUGGCAAGCAGCAGCAGAGCCCCCAGGCCACCUUUGCUGAGCUGGCUGAUGAUGAGAAGAUUUUCAACGGGGGUGAUGGUGUGUGGUCGGGUCACGAGCAGGCGCUGCUUCCCGAGAUCACCGAGGAGGACCUGGAGGCCAUCCGGCUGCGAGAGGAGGCCAUCCUGCAGAUUGAGAGUGACCUGUUAGAUGUGAACCAGAUCAUCAAGGACUUGGCCUCCAUGGUUUCAGAGCAAGGAGAGGCCAUCGGGUCCAGCAGCGGCAAGGCCUCGUGCGGGCGCAGCUCCAGCCCUGAGCCGGCUGCGGCAGCCCUGUUGCCUGGGCCAGGCCCGCACUUGCGCACCAAGACGCGGAAGCCCAACUUCAGCCCCCAGGAGACGGAGGUGCUGGUGCAGAGGGUGGCACGCCACUACUCCCUGCUGUUCGGGGCGCUGCGGGGCCCGCCCGCCCGCAAGCACCGGGUGUGGAGCAAGAUCCUGCAGGCGGUGAACGCGCUGGGCUACUGCCGCCGGGACCUGGGCGACGUCAAGCACAAGUGGCGGGACCUGCGCGGGGUGGUGCGCAGGAAGCUGGCCGAGUGCCCCCGCACCCCCGCCGUCCUCACGCCUGUCGAGCGCAUGGUGGCCGAGACCUUCACGGCCCCAGGCACCCCUGGGGAGGGCCGUGCCGUCAAGCCCCUGCCAAAUAGUAUUGAAGCUGGCCUUGAGGCUGCGUCCUCGCACACAGAGGCGGCCAGUGAGCUCCUCGCUGGAGCCAGCCGGCACCAAGUAAGUCAGUGUGAGGGCAUGGCCCUCGGCCCCUGCCCGCGCCGGAGGGGCAGGCCCGCAGGGUCUUCUCUGUGCCCAGGCCUACUGCUGUGGGGGAGGGGAGAGGUAGGGGUGCGGGCUGCGUGCCCAGGACGGUCAGCCUUGCCUGCCCCGGUCUGCACCCCCACCGAGGCUGUGUCCCAGGUCUGUGCCCCCGGCUCAGCGAGCGAGAGAGCAGGGGUGAGGGGUGAGCAGCUCCCAGGGGCGGGUCUUGCUGCCGUGGGCGCCGGUGGGGCUGCGGCUCCCCAGCCCGGUGGGCGGCACCUGGCUGCCCCAACAGGAGGCCCUGUGGCUUCGGCUGUCCUGGAGGGCACGGCUGUGGAGAGGGCUCUCUGUCUGCCCUGGGCCAGGCGCGGGCCUCGCCGCUUGGGAUAUGUCAGCUGGCUCCGGGGCAGCGAGGACCAGUGUCUGACCCUCGUUUGCUUGAGGCAGGGCAUCAGGCAGCUCUGGGGACCCUGCUGCGACAGCCAUGAGCCCCUGGCCAGGCCGGGGUCCAGCAGGAGGUGGGCGCCGUGA
rnacentral:lncRNA from 1 species